rnacentral:rRNA from 1 species
AAGCUCGUAGUUGAAUUUCGGGAUCAAUGGAUUGGUCAUGCCGUUGGUAUGUACUGGUCAUAUUGGUUCUCACCUUCUAAGGAACCAUAAUGUCAUUCAUUUGAUGUUUUGGGGAAUUAGGACUGUUACCUUGAAAAAAUUAGAGUGUUUAAAGCAGGCUAACGCUUGAAUACAUCAGCAUGGAAUAAUGAAAUAGGACAUCGCAUUCUAUUUUGUUGGUUUCUAGGAUCGAUGUAAUGAUUAAUAGGGAUAGUUGGGGGCAUUAGUAUUCAAUUGUCAGAGGUGAAAUUCUUGGAUUUAUUGAAGACUAACUACUGCGAAAGCAUUUGCCAAGGAUGUUUUCAUUAAUCAAGAACGAAAGUUAGGGGAUCGAAGACGAUCAGAUACCGUCGUAGUCUUAACCAUAAACUAUGCCGACUAGGGAUCGGAUGAUGUUGAUUUUUUAAUGACUCAUUCGGCACCUUACGGGAAACCAAAGUGUUUGGGUUCCGGGGGGAGUAUGGUCGCAAGGCUGAAGCUUAAAGGAAUUGACGGAAGGGCACCACCAGGGGUGGAGCCUGCGGCUUAAUUUGACUCAACACGGGGAAG